AAAGGUCAGUAGCGGAAGCGCAGAAGCCCGCCCCCUCCUCGCUGGCUGCGGUCAGGAUUGGACAAUGCUCAGCAAGACUCCUGAUUGGUCGGAGCUUCAGUCAGUUUCCUGCUCCCCAGCCUGAGCCGGUGAACCUUCUUUUUGAGUGACGGGAUGAUAUCCACUCCGGGCAAGAAUGAGGCCAGAAUGACAGGUUUUCUUUUCUUUUCUUUUUUCUUUUUCAUUUUAGACCUGGGAAUUGCACCCCAGAGCCUCAGGCUGCUGCUAUUUUAAGAUCUCAGAAGUGGGAUCUAGCCCAACUACAGAACAUUUGCAUUUAACCUUGUAUAUAAGCAUAUGGAAGCAUAGCAGCCAAGUUCCAAAUUUGUGAUCUGUGGAAGCCCUUACAUCAAAGAGGUUCCUCACAGGGGCAAAUGCUUGGAGACUAUAGGUUGCACGAAAGCACAUCACAGGGCCCAAAAUCUGAGUAUGGCUCAGGGAAGAAAAAAUCUAAAUGGCUGAUAAUGAACUGAAAG